rnacentral:rRNA from 1 species
ACGCUCGACACUACGGGAGCAGCAGUAGGGAAUCUUCCACAAUGGACGCAAGUCUGAUGGAGCAACGCCGCGUGAGUGAAGAAGGUUUUCGGAUCGUAAAGCUCUGUUGUUGGUGAAGAAGGAUAGAGGUAGUAACUGGCCUUUAUUUGACGGUAAUCAACCAGAAAGUCACGGCUAACUACGUGUCAGCAGCCGCGGUAAUCUGAGCGGGCUGGCAAGGC